GGUGGGGUAAGUAGGACCCAGCAUGCAGUUCGACCGUGCGCAAAAAAGUCUACGAGGAUUUGGUCUAAAGGGAUUAGGGGUGGGACCCACACGGUUACGACAUUUGUCUGUUAACGAAGUUUGAAUAAAGUUUAGUUUUUUUUUUUUUUUUUGAGGGCGAGUUUAGAUAUUUCAUGCGUGAUAAGUGGUUAUUUUAUUUAUUUAUUUUAACAAAUUUAUUAUUGGUUUUAAUUAAAUAUAUAUUUUUUGAUAUAAUGUUUAGAAUUAUUUAUAGUCUCUUUUCAAUUCAUAAAUAAGAAAAUAAUGUGUUUCAAUACACUCAAACACAUAACUUCUUACAUUAAUAAAAUUAUCAAGUGAUUAUUAAUUUUUUAC
rnacentral:lncRNA from 1 species